rnacentral:sRNA from 1 species
AGGCUGCCCGGGCCGUGGCAGGAAGCCGGAAGCAGCCGCGGCCCCAGCUCGGGAGACAUGGCGGGCGUUAAAGCUCUCGUGGCAUUAUCCUUCAGUGGGGCUAUUGGACUGACUUUUCUUAUGCUGGGAUGUGCCUUAGAGGAUUAUGGAGAUGCCACAACACCCAGCUGAUUUUUUUAAGAAGUUUUUGUAGAGACGGAGUCUCUCUGUGUUGCUCAGGCUGGUCUUGAACUCCUGGCCUCAAGUCAUCCUCCUGCCUUGGCCUCCCAAAGCUGUAUCUUGAUAGUGAACCAGGAUUAUCAUCUAUACUGGAAGUCAGCAAACUGCCACAUAUAACCUGCUACCUGUUUUUGUAAUAAAGGUUUUAUUGAAAUACA